UGGGGAAUUUUGCACAAUGGGGGAAACCCUGAUGCAGCGACGCCGCGUGAUUUAGAAGGCCUUCGGGUUGUAAAAAUCUUUUCUAUGGGAAGAAAAUGACAGUACCAUAGGAAUAAGGACCGGCUAAUUACGUGCCAGCAGCCGCGGUAAUACGUAAGGUCCGAGCGUUGUCCGGAAUCAUUGGGCGUAAAGGGUACGUAGGCGGGUAAGCAAGUUAGAAGUGAAAUCCUAUAGCUCAACUAUAGUAAGCUUUUAAAACUGCUCAUCUUUAGGUAUUGAAGGGAAAGUGGAAUUCCUUGUGUAGCGGUGAAAUGCGCAGAUAUUAGGAGGAAUACCGGUGGCGAAGGCGACCUUCUUGCCAUAACCUGACGCUGAGGUACGAAAGCGUUGGUAGCAAACAGG
rnacentral:rRNA from 1 species